rnacentral:RNase_P_RNA from 1 species
GCCGCAGGCCGCCUUAUCGUCGUUCCAAUUUUUUUGGAAGGGAGGAAAGUCCGGGCACCAUAGGGAAGCAUAGCGGCUAACAGCCGUCGUUAUUUCUGCGAAAGGAGAAAUUUCAGGACUAGUGCAACAGAAAGGAUGUACAGGUAAUGCUGUAGUGAAAUCAGGUAAACUCUAUGCGGUGAAAUGCCACGUAAACCUGUGUCUCGGUUUUUACCGAGUAAGGGUACCCGCCCAAAGCAGGAGGGUAGGCAGAUUGAGCGUGUAGGUAACUACACGUCUAGAUAAAUGAUAAGGUGCCAAAAGUGAUUUUGGUAACAGAACCCGGCUUAUAGGCCUGCAUUUUUU